rnacentral:sRNA from 1 species
GCAGCCCCCUGGGGCCCCGAGCUCCCACGCACAGUCCGCACAGAGGCCGGCCGGUUGCCCCUGCACGGAUACCUCUGCCAGUGGACCCUGGUGACCUACCUGGACGUCCGGAGCUGCCUUGGACACCUAGGCUACCUGGGCUACCCCACCCUCUGUGAGCAGGACUCCCAGGCCCAUGCCAUCACAGGUAGGCACCCACCCUCCCUGGGCCUGGGCCCAGCAUCCUGGCAGCUGCCCUAACCCGUGUCUAUCCUCACAGUCACCCGUGAGAAGAGGCUGGACCAGGAGAAGGGACAGACGCAGCGGAGCGUCCUCCUGUGCAAGGUGGUGGGGGCCCGUGGAGUGGGCAAGUCUGCCUUCCUGCAGGCCUUCCUCGGCCGCGGCCUGGGGCACCAGGACACGAGGGAGCAGCCUCCCGGCUACGCCAUCGACACGGUGCAGGUCAACGGGCAGGAGAAGUACUUGAUCGUGAGUGCUGGGGCGGCACGGCCUGUGCCCGAGGGUGGACCCGGGGACACCCAGGCCUGCCUGGCAGAUCUGGCCCAGCAUGGCCCUAGGGGGACCGAGCCCCAGGGACCCUUCCUAAGGCCACUGUCUGUCCCAGCUCUGUGAGGUGGGCACAGAUGGUCUGCUGGCCACAUCGCUGGACGCCACCUGUGACGUUGCCUGCUUGAUGUUUGAUGGCAGUGACCCAAAGUCCUUUGCACAUUGUGCCAGCG